GAUGAACGCUGGCGGCGUGCCUAAUACAUGCAAGUCGAGCGAACUGAUUAGAAGCUUGCUUCUAUGACGUUAGCGGCGGACGGGUGAGUAACACGUGGGCAACCUGCCUGUAAGACUGGGAUAACUUCGGGAAACCGAAGCUAAUACCGGAUAGGAUCUUCUCCCUCAUGGGAGAUGAUUGAAAGAUGGUUUCGGCUAUCACUUACAGAUGGGCCCGCGGUGCAUUAGCUAGUUGGUGAGGUAACGGCUCACCAAGGCAACGAUGCCAUAGCCGACCUGAGAGGGUGAUCGGCCACACUGGGACUGANACACGGCCCAAAC
rnacentral:rRNA from 1 species